rnacentral:rRNA from 1 species
UGCUCGAGUGGCGAACGGGUGAGUAACGCGUGAGUAACCUGUCCUUGACUUUGGGAUAACUUCAGGAAACUGGGGCUAAUACCGGAUAGGAGCUCCUGCUGCAUGGUGGGGUUGGAAAGUUUCGGCGGUUGGGGAUGGACUCGCGGCUUAUCAGCUUGUUGGUGGGGUAGUGGCUUACCAAGGCUUUGACGGGUAGCCGGCCUGAGAGGGUGACCGGCCACAUUGGGACUGAGAUACGGCCCAG